rnacentral:sRNA from 1 species
UAUGACGAUCCAACAGCUGUGCAGUCGUC